GACGAACGCUGGCGGCGUGCUUAACACAUGCAAGUCGAACGGAAAGGCCCUGCUUUUGUGGGGUGCUCGAGUGGCGAACGGGUGAGUAACACGUGAGUAACCUGCCCUUGACUUUGGGAUAACUUCAGGAAACUGGGGCUAAUACCGGAUAGGAGCUCCUGCUGCAUGGUGGGGGUUGGAAAGUUUCGGCGGUUGGGGAUGGACUCGCGGCUUAUCAGCUUGUUGGUGGGGUAGUGGCUUACCAAGGCUUUGACGGGUAGCCGGCCUGAGAGGGUGACCGGCCACAUUGGGACUGAGAUACGGCCCAGACUCCUACGGGAGGCAGCAGUGGGGAAUAUUGCACAAUGGGCGGAAGCCUGAUGCAGCAACGCCGCGUGUGGGAUGACGGCCUUCGGGUUGUAAACCGCUUUCGCCUAUGACGAAGCGUGAGUGACGGUAAUGGGUAAAGAAGCACCGGCUAACUACGUG
rnacentral:rRNA from 1 species